GCAGAAGAUAGCAGCUGUCAGACCGAUGCUCCGGUGCACGUGAAGGGGCCAGCUCCUGAAACACGAUCCAGGUGAGGAAGAGAGUCAGCGCUCACGAGGAUAACCUCGAGUGAUCGUCCGCGGGACAGUUUGAAACAAUCCUGGUGCCAGCAGGAGGAAUUUGUGGUCUUUUGUUGGCGGGAGAUGAAGAGAGAAGACGCGAGAGGAGCGAGCUGGUGCACCGCCGGACGAGUUUACUUGGAGUGAGGGUCCAGGAGUCGACGGCACUCGGAUGAAAUCAAUGGAAAACAGUGAGCUCCCGUGCACAAUAAACUGUUUCGUUAAAAUAGGCCCUUUUUCUUUUUGGUUUCUGUACUAACACUAGUCAAAUUAAGAAUUAUAAAGCUCAGUUAUUUAAUUGAAUAUGGUGUACCAUCUUAUUUUUUGGUGGUACAGAGUUGUAACGGGAACACAUCAUACAGCACCAACACAAACAAGGUUUCGUCUGUUUGGCGGGGGUGGCGACUGUCUUCCCCUAGACUAACGCAGCCAUCCGAACCUGGGGGUUAUAUCCGACGUUUGAUUGAUAAGUUUGUGGCCUAAGCUAGAUGGAGUCAAUUUUAGAAAACCUAGCAAAUUUAUAUUUCAGCAUAGUCCCAUCCUACAUUUACACACUUAGUCCAGUGGUUGUGGAGCAUAUGGAUCUUGGACCUCCAGAAAGUGUCCACAGCAGGGGUGAUUGAUAGGUUCGUGGCCUAAGGUACAAGGAGAUGAGUUACACAGCUCUUGUUACAUGCAAAUACAGGUCAACUCUUUGAGUGAUUUUGCAGAAAGUUUGAAGUUAAUAACUCAUCAGCAGUAGAUGGAUUUUAGAAAGGCACUUACAAGGUACCCUUAUUGAGAAAGUAAGGAGGCAUGGGAUCCAAGGGGACAUUGUUUUAUGGAUCCAGAAUUGACUUGCCCACAGAAUGAAAAGUGUACACGGGUCAUAUUCUGCAUGGAGGUCGGUCACCAGUGGUGUGCCUCACGGAUCUUUUCUGGGACCCCUACUCUUUGUGAUUUUUAUAAAUGACCUGGAUGAGGAAGUGGAGGGAUGGGUUAGUAAAUUUGAUGAAGACACAAAGGUUGGGGUGUUGUGGAUAGUGUGGAGGGUUGUCAUACCCCACGGAGUACUGUGCUCAGUUCUGGUCACCUCACUACAGGAAGGAUGUGGAAACCAUGGAAAAGCUGCAGAGGAGAUUUACAAGGAUGUUGCCUGGAUUGGGGAGCAUGCCUGAAGAGAAUAGGUUGAGUGAACUUGCCUUUUCUCCUUGGAGCAACGGAGCAUGAGAAUGUAUAAGAUGAUGAGAGGCAUUGAUCAUGUGGGUAGUCAGAGGCUUUUUCCCAGAGCUGAAAUUGCUAGCACGAGAGUGCACCGUUUUAAGGUAUUUGGAAGUAGGUACAGAGGAGAUGUCAGGGGCAAGUUUUUUUACGCAAAGAGUGGUGAGUGUGUGGAAUGG